rnacentral:rRNA from 1 species
GACGAACGCUGGCGGCGUGCCUAACACAUGCAAGUCGAACGAGGUCCAAGGAAGCUUGCUUCCUGAAGACCUAGUGGCGAACGGGUGAGUAACACGUGAGAAACCUGCCUCGGAGUGGGGAAUAACUCGGGGAAACUCGAGCUAAUACCGCAUACCUUCACAUGACCGCAUGGUCGAGUGAAGAAAGAAUUUCGCUCUGAGAGGGUCUCGCGGCCUAUCAGCUUGUUGGUGGGGUAACGGCCUACCAAGGCAACGACGGGUAGCUGGUUUGAGAGAACGAUCAGCCACACUGGGACUGAGACACGGCCCAGACUCCUACGGGAGGCAGCAGUGGGGAAUCUUGCGCAAUGGGCGAAAGCCUGACGCAGCAACGCCGCGUGCGGGAUGACGGCCUUCGUGGUUGUAACCCGCUUUCAGCAGGGACGAAAUGACGGUACCUGCAGAAGAAGCCCCGGCGUAACUACGUGCCAGCAGCCGCGGUAAU